ACAUGGGGAUUCUGGGAUGUAGAAUUCAAGUUGAGAUUUGGGUGGGGACACAGCCAAACCAUAUCCAUAGCCAACACAGUCCUGGCCCAUGGCUGGUGUCGAGCUGAGCUGCGACCGUGGCUGUGUGAGUUUUGGGUGCGAGGCGUGCACACGCCUCUCAGCGGUACAGUGAAAGGAUUUGGAGGCUCAAACGUGUGACCUAAAAGAAUCUCCAAAGAUCAAGGUCCAUUCACCCUAAAAAGAAAAAUCUCAGCGCAGUUUAGAGCCAGUGUUUGCUUUUGGAUAUGGAUUCUACAGUCAUAAAAUGAAUAAAUAAAAGUCUGUAAAUAAAUUUUAAUGUCUUUACUGGAAUUGUAAACACUGAUUUUCUUUCCUCACCCACCCAUCUGUUGGUGAGUAUCAGAUGGAUGAACCGUGCUGCGGGGACAGAGAGGAGGGUGCAGCUUGGCCUCUGGGACCUCAGCUGAGCACUGAGUGAGCUGUCUCCGUUUCAGACAUCCACACGGAAGUUGUCCAGGCGGCUCUGGCCAAACCCAAAGAGCAGAAGAUGGCCGGUGCCUAUGCCUUCCAAACGCAGGUCCCUGGUCGUGCAGACCUCCAUGGACGCCUACACCCCUCCAGGUAAAAAGCUGAGCAAACUGAAAAAUCAGCAGUUCUUCUUAAACCUGCACGAGACCUGAGGUCACAGGCAAGCCACUGUCCGUAGAUUGGCUGGACAGGUAAAGCAGAUGAAUCACCAUACACUGGAGCACAAUGCUCCAAGGAACCCACACUGGGAUUGGAAAACCUGAACUGGAAUUGACAAAUUGCUGCAGUGAGGUGCGGCCACGUCUGAGAGUUAAAACCUCCAGGAGGCCUGUGCAUAUGGGUCUCAUGCUUUUGUGAGUUGUAUCAUCAGAAGCUCAACCAGGUUCGUGAAGUAAACAUCACAGAAAAAUCCCUUCAUACUUACUACAGGGGAAAGAGAAUAGGAAUCAUUUUUCAAUAUGCAGGUGCACUCUUCACUAGGUCUACCUUCCAGAGAAGCUAGUUAACUAGAGACUCACCUGGUGGGAUUUUAUCAGAGCCUUCUGACCUGGGGGAAAGGGAAAUACCCAAUUCCAACCUCUAGAACUGAAAAG